GUGCUCGCUUUGACAGCACAUAUACUAAAAUUGGAAUGAUACAGAGGAGAUUAGCUCGGCCCCUGCUCAAGGAUGAUGCUCAAAUUUGUGGAAUGUGCUGUAUUUGG
ensembl:snRNA U6 U6 spliceosomal RNA